rnacentral:rRNA from 1 species
CCUACGGGAGGCAGCAGUGAGGAAUAUUGGUCAAUGGGCGGGAGCCUGAACCAGCCAAGUCGCGUGAGGGAAGACGGUCCUAUGGAUUGUAAACCUCUUUAGGCGGGGAGCAAUGCCGGGCACGCGUGCCCGGAGGGAGAGUACCCGCAGAAUAAGCAUCGGCUAACUCCGUGCCAGCAGCCGCGGUAAUACGGAGGAUGCGAGCGUUAUCCGGUUUUAUUGGGUUUAAAGGGUGGGUAGGCGGAUUUUUAAGUCAGCGGUAAAAUGUCCGGGCUCAACCCGGGCCGGCCGUUGAAACUGGGGAUCUGGAGUGGGCGAGAAGGAUGCGGAGUGCGUGGUGUAGCGGUGAAAUGCAUAGAUAUCACGCAGAACGCCGAUUGCGAAGGCAGCAUACCGGCGGCGAAGGCGGCCUGCUGGACCGCGACUGACGUUGAGGCUCGAAAGCGUGGGGAGCGAACAGGAUUAGAUACCCGUGUAGUC